GACAAAAGAGAGUAAAAUAAAAUUCUGAUAAAACAGAAGGCCUGGGUGUUUGGUGCUCUUGUCAAAUUAGGCAUGAAAGCCUUUGCACCACACACCUUUAUAGCACAUAGUCCGUUUUGUAUUUGUAAUUUUUUGUUUCCCCUUCGCUCAAAACACAAAAAGGGACUCAACUACACAACCUCUCACAUCAUUGCUCACACCAUCGCGACUAUCAGGUACUUUUGACACCAAAUGGUCAAGUGCACUUCAAAACAAUUGAAGGAGAAGCAGAAACAAGAGAGUAUCUAAGCAGCACAUUUUUUUCAGGGAGUCUCUCUUAACUUUUGCUUUAAUCAUAUAGUUACAUCGAGGACAAUGUAACAUUUUAAGUUGGGGGAAGCUUUAUUUUGAUAGAUACUUUUGUGAUGGUGUGUGAUAUGUCAUGCUGGAUAAUAGUUUGGUAAAUUGACUUUAUUCUAGUAUUUUUCUUAAUAACGUAAUUAUAUUAGUAUGA